rnacentral:siRNA from 1 species
AAGGGACUGUGUUAUAUGGUAGGA